rnacentral:rRNA from 1 species
AGGGCGCACGGUGAAUGCCUAGGCACAAUGAGGCGAAGAAGGACGUGACGAACCACGAAAGGCUUCGGGGAGCGGUAAGUACGCAAUGAUCCGGAGACAUCCGAAUGGGGGAACCCAAUGCAUGCAGAUGCAUUACCAGGCGGUGAAUAGAUAGCCGGCUGGGGCAAGACGCAGUGAACUGAAACAUCUAAGUAGCUGCAGGAAGAGAAAGAAAAAUCGAUUUCCCUAGUAGCGGCGAGCGAAAAGGAAAGAGCCCAAACCAGAUGAUUUAUCAUUUGGGGUUGUAGGACUGCGACAAGGCAGCGCAAAGGAUAGCAGAAUUAUCUGGGAAGGUAAGCCAGAGAGGGUGAGAGCCCCGUAAGCGAAAUCCGGAGCGCGCUGAGCAGGAUCCUGAGUAGGUCGGGACACGAGGAAUCCCGAUUGAAGCAGCGAGGACCAUCUCGCAAGGCUAAAUAC